ensembl:miRNA
CCUCUGCUGCUCUGGCUCCCCCUGGCCUCCCGGGAACUACAAGUCCCAGGGGGCCUGGCGGCGGGCGGCGGACGGAAGAGGCGGGG